UACAGAGGUGGCAAGCGUUGUUCGGAAUUACUGGGCGUAAAGGGCGCGUAGGCGGCCAUCUAAGUCAGACGUGAAAUCCCCCGGCUUAACCUGGGAACUGCGUCUGAUACUGGAAGGCUUGAGUAUGGGAGAGGGAUGUAGAAUUCCAGGUGUAGCGGUGAAAUGCGUAGAUAUCUGGAGGAAUACCGGUGGCGAAGGCGGCAUCCUGGACCAUUACUGACGCUGAGGAGCGAAAGUGUGGGGAGCGAACAGG
rnacentral:rRNA from 1 species